UACGGAGGGUGCAAGCGUUAUCCGGAUUCACUGGGUUUAAAGGGUGCGUAGGUGGGCUGGUAAGUCAGUGGUGAAAUCUCCGGGCUUAACUCGGAAACUGCCGUUGAUACUAUCAGUCUUGAAUGUUGUGGAGGUAAGCGGAAUAUGUCAUGUAGCGGUGAAAUGCUUAGAUAUGACAUAGAACACCGAUAGCGAAGGCAGCUUGCUA
rnacentral:rRNA from 1 species